UAACGACGGGUAGAAACAGAUGGGUACCACUGUCACAUCUACCCGCCUCAUGAUUGGAUGAGUCGAUGAGUUGUGACGUUGUGAUGGUAUCCGGGAUAGGGUUUAAAGGAUGGGUCGGAACGCGGGGUACGUGGUGGUGGGAAAGAAGGGCCAGUUGGGUACAGCUCUCGUCUUCGUGGGUGGAGUGCCUCAACUGGAACGUGGCGGAAGCUGGAGGAGUCGAUGACAGCACAGCUGUAGCAUAAACAAGUCGCAUUGCAGGCCGUUUCCUCGGCGCGUUUGGACCCCCGCUUGUGUAUUUGAAUCGUCUCCACCACUGCUGCUUCACAAAUCAAUCGUUUGUUCCUGAGAAAUGAUAGAGACGCGCUUGUAAAUGACACUACUAUUCCAGCUCUCAACGGUCAUGGACUUCUCCCAUGACUUUAGCUUACAUAGAAUUAAUAAAUUCAAAAAAGAAGUCUUUUUCAUUUUCUUUUUCUCAGCAGAGAGCAUUUUCUUUUUAUUUAUUUACAUAAAACGUGAUUACUCUUACAACCAUCCAUCCUGUCAUCCCGCUGUCUCCACUUCUUGUCUAGGGUUAUCAUCGUGUCAUCGUCUGCCAUGGUCGAGUCCCCGGAGGGAAAGCGGGUGAUGGUCUGUGAGGGCGACCUCGUCAGCAUGUACGCUGUCUAUUUCCUCAUAUCUUCCACUUCCACCUUUCCUUUGUUGUCGCCCUAGAUGAUCUCACCAACGACUGUUAUCGACUCCUUGAGGAUCUCUCCCUAUCGCAUCCAUUGCCGUGAUUGCUCUAGUGUUGCCUUCCCUGUCUAUGCCUUCAUCGGGGGAGUCAAGGGAGGGCGAUCACUGUGGGGGCUAUCCAUCAAGGUCGACAAAUAGGUACGAUAGGGCAGAGGCGAGGCCUUAGCAACACCUCAUUAGGGAUGACCGAGGGUGAUAGACGAGGAUGAGAAAAUAAUCGAUAGAUGAGGGCAAGGGCUGUAAGGCAGAGACAAUCACACGGAUGUGGUGGCCGGCAGCGAGAUGCGAAGGCGGCCACGAUAGGAGGGCGACAAUGAGGUCAACGAUAUUCUGGUGUAGUUCCAUUGAUGAUAUAAGCAACCAUCUUUCCUAAGAUAUCCUAACAAGUCUGUGUUGAAAAGGUCAAGCUACUUCGAUGCCUCUCAUCAUCGACAAUCUAAGUGGUUGAAAGUUGAUAGAGAAUAUUCUGGCAACUAGACCAGACCGUCAGUUGGUUGCCACCAAGACAUCGAUGUGGAAGGCAAGGGAUAAAUCACCACUCCACUCGGCAGUAAGGCGGUAGCCUGUUGGCCACCGCAACCAACAACAAGCGGUAUGACUCGAUCAUCAAGGGCAAUGGGCCCCAGGCAACCAAGUUGACCUGCGCCCCUCUUUGGCCAACCUUAUAGGUGACAACAUGCAAGGGAGCCGAUCGGUGUGACCCAAUUAGCCGUCAGGAUUGACAGGAGAUGCCCCUUUCUAUCACCCUAUGUUGACGACAUGUCGUAGGGGGUCGUACGGACUAGUUAUACAUAUGUGCAAGGGUUAUGGUAGCAUAGAGAUGAACAAUGACUUGUAGGCACUUUAUGUGUAUAAAUUUUAGAUAUGUUAUGUUUGAGUUUUCUUUUGGUUAAAUGUUAUAGUUAUGUACAAGUUUUAAAAAUACUA